UAGUCCAGACUGGGACAUAUUCAUGAGGC
rnacentral:piRNA from 1 species